AGGAAAGGAAGCCGGAGCUACGAGCGGACAAGCCGGUGUAGACGCACGACUAAAGGGUGCGCUUUGAAGUUUCUAGGUGUUGCAAAUCUACGGAUGGCCAUCAAGCAACUUGUUGAAGAACCGAACACUACUUUUGAAGCUUCCGCAUAAAUUAACUCUGUUUAAACAAUGUUAUGAUGUAAAUCGUUUGCUAAAUAACUUAUGGAUGUUUUAAUUAGUCGGUAGAUAACUAAUGUUUGUUACCUUA